AUUUUUUGCUCAUAUAUUUCUUUCACUGCAUUUUUAUAAAUAUCAAUAUUGGUUGUGGACAUUCAGUAAACAAAAAAAAUAAAAUAAAAUUAGUCACAAUGAUUCAGAUGACUCUCCACCUCCAAUCUUGUCAUACUCCAUUGAAUGCUCCACAAUUCUCAAACCUCUCCGUAUUCUGCCCCUUACACAUUUUCACCAACCACUGUGUCACUUCAACAUUUAUUCUUUACAGGCCACUUCUUCAGCAGAUAUUCAAUGUUCAUUCCUUGAACAAAAAAUACUAAAACAGCUCAGAGAAUGCCUUCAGAGUUAUCGACUGACUCAACCAAGACAAGCACCAAUUCUGAUUCAUCAACAGCUACAAGCAAGGGCAUUAUAGAAGUGCCCACUUUUUACCACCAACAAUGGGCGCCAGAAUACCCUGAGUUUGUCAACUUUAGAUAUGAUGGAACAAUAUACCAAAUUAGGCUAAGGCAACGUCGGGCAAAAGUCUACUUUGCGGAAGGGCUGAAAAAUUCAGAAAAGAUUUAUCAAUUUACGAAUCUAUGAUCAUUAAAUUCUUGGCAUGCAACAACAAAUCCAUGUUUGAUCUUUAUUUUGUUCCCUCACUGGAAUGCCAAACUUGCGGAAGGCCAGAAGUUAUGUCAAGACAACAUAUUUGGACACUUGAAAUCACACAAUCAAUUCUUGGUGCACCAGGACCACUGAGACUCCCCAAUUGUGCCAUGACACAUGUAAAUGCCUGCGAUCAACACAUGACCAUUCUCAGGAGAUUUGGACCUCCAUUACAGUGGAAUGUUGUGGUGGUUGAUGGUGGAGUUAGGUGCAGAUAUGUUGUCCAACCAUGGUAUCAAUUCCUUGCUGAUAAUGAUUUCUCCCAUGGUGAUGAAGUCUCCUUCUAUUACAGGACCAUUGAUAAAAUAUAGGAAAUUGUCAUCCACCGAAGAAAGAAUUGGGAGUAUUAGAGUUAGCUUAUGCACUUUGAUUUUUCUAUCUUUUUGUCUUUUAUGAACAUUUUGUCAAUUACAUGGUCUCUUUCUUAUUUACUUAUUUGACUUUGAAC